rnacentral:sRNA from 1 species
UCGUUGGCAAAAUCCAACGUCGGGAUUAGGACCCCGCUUUUUGUACAGGCGCAUAUGUGCCAGCUUUUCGCUGGUUUUUU